rnacentral:misc_RNA from 1 species
GGGGAGGCCCAAAAGGCUAUCGACCCCAACCAUUGUGAACGAAGCUUUGUAGUUGCUUCGGCGAGUGGUAAUACAAGCCCUUUACGGGGUACUCGCCGGAAAGCAAGUAAUCUCUAGUCAUUUAUUGUUAUGUCUGAGUAAACUUUAAUAAGUUA